CUCCUUCAAUCAAUCAUCAGUAUUUUCUGAAUUAAAAACAGUGCAGUCGAUUGAAUUUGCUUCAAUAUUUAAAAUGUUUAAAAUUAUAAUUUUGAUUGCUACUGUCCUUGGAGCAGCUCUAUCCCAGCAAGGACUCCAGCCAAAAGAAAAUAAAACUAUUUUUACACCAACUUUUGUCAGGCUAGGACAUUUGAUUCAACGUAUUCCAACAUCAGUCUCUCAUCAAAGUCAAACUGUCGUUCACAACCAUGCAAAUAUAAUCAGAGACAUUGUUGCUCCUGCAACAAUUAUUAGAAACAUUCCAAUAACUGAUUCAAUUCGCGAAAACAUGAAUCAAAAUGAAGAGAAACCUUACAACUCCCCUCAAAACCAAAAUCUCGAAAGGAUCAUUUACUUGAAUUAUUACUAAAAUUUAUCAAAACAAUGCUUCACUGUAAUCCUUCGAUUGUGUAAUAAAUUUAAAUAAAUGGAAAGCAACAUCAAA